rnacentral:rRNA from 1 species
AUAUCAAUAAGCGGAGGAAAAGAAAAUAACAAUGAUUCCCUUAGUAACGGCGAGCGAAGGGGGAAUAGCUCAAAUUUUAAAUCUGUUAGGUUUUAUCUAACCGAGUUGUAAUUUGAAGAAGCGUUUUCCGCGUUUUCGAUUAGCCCAAAUCCUUUGGGAUGAGGUAUCAUGGAGGGUGAGAAUCCCGUCCGGUUAAAUCGAGAUGCUUUACGAUACGCUUUCUAAGAGUCGAGUUGUUUGGGAUUGCAGCUCAAAAUGGGAGGUAAAUUUCUCCUAAGGCUAAAUAUAGGCGAGAGACCGAUAGCGAACAAGUACCGUGAGGGAAAGAUGAAAAGAACUUUGAAAAGAGAGUUAAACAGUAU